GACAGAGGGUGCAAACGUUGUUCGGAAUUACUGGGCGUAAAGCGCACGUAGGCGGAUCGAUCAGUCAGGGGUGAAAUCCCAGGGCUCAACCCUGGAACUGCCUUUGAUACUGUCGAUCUGGAGUAUGGAAGAGGUGAGUGGAAUUCCGAGUGUAGAGGUGAAAUUCGUAGAUAUUCGGAGGAACACCAGUGGCGAAGGCGGGUAGCUGGGCCAACACUGACGCUGAUGCGCGAAAGCUAGGGGAGCAAACGGG
rnacentral:rRNA from 1 species